UGAUGUAUUGGGGAACCAAUCCUCAACUGCACAAACUUUGCGCUCACAAAGGAGUUGGUCCUAAGCCACAGAGGGGGUGGGUGAGAGACCCUUUAUUCCAGUUUACAAAAACCUUAGCUCCUCCCAUUCUUAAAUGUUUUGGUAAGCAAGGGAGUUUAAUGAAAUUGGGAAGAGAAAGGUUUUACCACACCCCUCCCACGUAUUUAUAACAUCCUAAACUCUCCUAUUCGGUUUGUGGAGACGCGUGAAAUUUAUAAGACUUCUUUAAGUGCUUCAGGAAAGGCAGAAUUUAUUACAUUCUUUCUUCACCGCAUCCCACCUCCCAGUGAGGGAGUGGAGCACAUCCGAACAGGGCCAGGGUGCAAGCCAGAGUCUCCCGAGAGUAGGGUCCCCACUCCUCCUGCUCCUUUCUUGUCCCGUUCCCAAGUUCCCUUUCAUUGCCUUCUGUCUCGCGUUCAUCCCUGACUUCACUAGAGGUUGGAUCCGCUGGGAUGGGCAGGGCGGGGUAAUGCCCCGCGGCAGAGGCCGGAGUCACCUCCUGGCGGCUUGUAGCAAUGAUUCCUUUGUCUCCCAGUCUGUCUUUGGCUCAAGCGGCGCCAGGCUUGCAGGUAAAGACUCACAUCCGGCCUGGCACUGCCCGCCACAGGCCCAGUAGUCUUGAAGAAAAUCCUGGAUUCAGCGCUCCGGAAAACCAGCACACUCGAGUAUCGCGUAGAGGCCGCGUGGGAACCCAUGGGGGCGCGGCGACCAUCACCGCGCAGGCGUCGAUCUUACCUUCCCGACACUGCAAUUCCCAUGAGGCCAAGCAGCGUCCUCCGCGCCGCUAAGCCCAGGAGCUUCGUCCGCUCCGAAAGGGCUCGGGAACUCUCGCCGCAUUGCAUUAUGGAAUACAUAGUGUAAUAGAAAACUCUUCGGGCACAAACUCCCGACCAAACUCACGUGUUUACCUUGUGCACUGGCAGCGGCGGCCGGGGUUGGGCGUCAAUUAGGAGUAGCUACAGGAUUACGUCAUAAAGCCGCGACCAGACGGGCGGCGCCAUCUUCGAACUUGGACUUCCGGAAGGACUUUGGUGAGGGAGCAGCCAUUUUAGGGGGUGCUGAUGGAUACCUGCGGGGUCGGCUAUGUCGCCCUGGGGGAGGCCGGCCCCGUGGGGAAUAUGACUGUAGUAGACUCUCCCGGACAAGGGGUGCUAAACCAACUUGAUGUCAAGACCACUUCAGAAACAACCAGUACAGAGGCUUCCACAGAGGUGUCUUUGCCUACCACUUUGUCUGGAUUUGAAGAUUCUUUUGAUGAUAAAAAGCUUCUUCCAGAGCAGGAAAGCCCCGCCAGGCUGGAACAGCAAGAUCUUUCUUCAGAGAUGUCAAAGGUCUCAAAGCCUAGGGCCUCAAAGCCUGGCCGGAAGAGAGGUGGUAGGACACGGAAAGGCCCAAAAAGGCCCCAACAGCCUAAUCCUCCAUCAGCCCCUCUGGUUCCUGGUCACUUAGAUCAAUCCAACCCUCUAUCCACCCCCAUGCCUAAGAAACGAGGUCGAAAGCCCAAGGCAGAGCUGCUACUGCUGAAGUUGUCAAAAGGCCUAGAUCAGCCAGAGUCUCCACCUCCAAAGAGGCCCCCUGAGGACUUUGAGACCCCACCUGGGCAACGACCCCGCCGAAGGGCUGCCCAAGUGGCACUUCUGUAUCUUCAGGAACUGGCUGAAGAGCUCUCAACAACCCUGCCUACUCCAGUGUCCCGUCCUGAGAGCCCCAAGGUGAGCAGCCCCACCAAACCAAAGAAAACCCGGCAACAGUCAGCCUGUCAAGGUGAAGAGGAUGACACCGCACGAGAUGAAGAUUUUGUUCUCAAGGUUGAAACUGAAGAUGGAGACGAAAGUGAGGUCCCAAGUGAGAGCUCAUCUGACCCUGAGCCUGCCGUGCCCCGAAGCACCCCACGAGGAUCCACUGCAGGGAAGCAGAAGUCACACUGCCGGGGAAUGGCUCCCAAUGGCUUAUCAAAUCACAUCAUGGCUCCUGUUUGGAAGUGCCUCCAUCUCACCAAGGACCUCCGGGAACAGAAGCAUUCAUACUGGGAGUUUGCAGAAUGGAUUCCUUUAGCCUGGAAGUGGCACCUGUUAUCUGAACUUGAGGCAGCUCCCUACCUGCCCCAGGAGGAGAAGUCGCCACUGUUUUCUGUACAACGUGAAGGACUUCCUGAAGAUGGCACACUCUAUCGAAUUAACAGAUUUAGUUCGAUCACAGCACAUCCAGAGCGCUGGGACGUGUCCUUCUUCACAGGGGGACCUCUCUGGGCUCUGGACUGGUGCCCAGUGCCAGAGGGGGCAGCAGCCUCGCAGUACGUGGCCCUUUUCUCCAGCCCUGACAUGAAUGAGACACAUCCACUCAGCCAAGUUCAUUCGGGUCCUGGGCUACUCCAGCUCUGGGGCCUUGGGACCUUGCAGCAAGAAAGCUGUCCUGGCAACAGGGCUCACUUUGUCUAUGGGAUUGCUUGUGACCACGGCAGCAUCUGGGACCUCAAGUUCUGCCCCAGUGGAGCAUGGGAACUUCCAGGAACCCCUCGGAAGGCUCCUCUCCUGCCUCGGUUGGGUCUCUUGGCUCUUGCCUGCUCAGACGGGAAGGUGCUGCUGUUCAGUCUGCCCCAUCCUGAGGCCCUGCUAGCACAGCAGCCCCCAGAUGCAAUGAAGCCUGCCAUCUAUAAGGCACAAUGUGUGGCAACCCUUCAGGUGGGGUCUGUGCAAGCAUCAGACCCCUCUGAGUGUGGUCAGUGCCUUAGCCUGGCCUGGAUGCCCACCCGACCCCAUCACCACCUGGCUGCUGGAUACUAUAAUGGCAUGGUGGUUUUCUGGAACCUUCCCACUAACUCGCCACUGCAGCGGAUACGGCUCUCCGAUGGCUCCUUGAAGCUCUACCCCUUCCAGUGUUUCCUAGCCCAUGACCAGGCUGUGCGUACCCUUCAGUGGUGCAAAGCCAACAGUCAUUUCAUAGUGUCUGCAGGGAGCGACCGGAAAAUCAAAUUCUGGGACCUUCGACGACCUUAUGAACCAAUAAACUCUAUCAAGCGCUUCUUGAGUACAGAGCUGGCCUGGCUGCUCCCCUACAAUGGUGUCACUGUGGCUCAGGACAACUGCUAUGCCUCUUAUGGACUCUGUGGAAUUCAUUAUAUUGAUGCUGGUUACCUUGGUUUCAAGGCCUACUUCACUGCUCCUCGGAAAGGCACUGUCUGGAGUCUUUCAGGAUCCGACUGGCUUGGGACAAUAGCCGCAGGAGAUACAUCGGGGGAGCUCAUUGCAGCUAUAUUGCCUGAUAUGGCACUGAACCCAAUAACUGUCAAGCGACCUGUAGAGCGAAGAUUUCCUAUCUAUAAAGCAGAUUUGAUGCCAUAUCAGGAUAGUCCUGAAGGUCGAGACCAUUCUGCUGCUUCAUCUGGAGCCCUCAACCCUCCCAAGGCUCGAACUUACGCCGAAACGGUCAAUCAUCACUACUUGCUCUUUCAAGAUACAGAUUUGGGUUCAUUCCACGAUCUGCUCCAUAGAGAACCAAUGCUGCGUAUGCAGGAGGGAGAGGGGCACUCUCAGCUCUGCCUGGACAGGCUGCAGCUGGAGGCUAUUCAUAAAGUACGUUUCAGCCCAAACCUGGACUCCUAUGGAUGGCUCGUAUCUGGGGGGCAGUCAGGGCUGGUUCGGAUCCAUUUUGUCCGUGGACUCACCUCCCCACUGGGCCACCGUAUGCAACUUGAAAGCCGAGCCCACUUCAGUGCUGUGUUCCAACCGUCCUCCCCUACUAAAGGGCCUGGUUUCCCUCCAACCAGCCAUCGUCUUCUGCCCAGUCCCUAGUCGUGCUCCACACAGGACCCUUGGAAUGAAGUCUGCCAAGAACAAAUGGCCCCCAUGCACAGACCAUAGGAACCGGGGCCUUCUUGGACAGUGAUGCUGCCAGGCCUGGACCUUUAGACCUGCCUGUCCAGGACUCCUUAGAUACCUCUCCUUCCAUUGACUUCAGCUGUCAUCACAGCCCCCUGUGGGCAGGGGGGGCUUGCCCUCCACAAGCUCUCAAGGUUCCUUCGCCUAAAACUGGCCCACAAGAAGCGCUCGGGCCUGACCUAGGCUUGGGAGUCAAAUUGCUCAUAUUGAGCAUAUUGUGAAAGAUCAAACCUGCAACCGUGAUGUAUCUGGGUGACACUAACCAACGGAGCAACCCAACCAGGAAAAGGUUUUGUGACUUUAAACGACAUAUAAUGAAACCAGUUUUAUCAUAGGUGAGUUGAUAUAAAUAAGAUUUAAGUUCCUAUGGCAUCUUACAAUGUUAUAAUGAAAUGUUAUUUGAGGACCUGCUGUAUUGUUACAGCUCAUCUUGUUAAAAUCCUUUUUUGGGGUGCUUCAGACUCAUAGUGACUGCAAUACUGCUCCCUAAGCAAGGAUGUAUCCCAGCAAUGAGAAAUAGGCAAACCAUAGUUUUGGAAUGUAUAAUAGUACAAUCUGAGGUUUGGGGUAAGUAAUCAGAUGACUUCAGGAACUAUUACAGAGAAAAAGUCAUAGCCAGCUGCUAUUGAAGGGAGUAGAGAGUAGUGCCUACCUGGAACAAAGCCCUCUGGCACUCUCGACUGAUUAGCCAGAUAUCUGGGAAUAGCUUUCUGCCUCUUAAGUGUAGGGAAUUUAUCAUGUCAGAAAACCUCCUUUAAGAAAGGAAUCAAGUACUUCAGUUUCCUUCCUGUGCAGAAGAGGAAGCAGACCUGGAGGCAACCCAGACCAUUAGCAGAGGAACCACAACCCACGUCAGUGCAAAGGAGCCAAGUAUUGCACCAUCCUAUUGUGAUCCAGCUCAGGUUGUUCCAGUUCUCUUUUUGAACUGAUUGAUAGGGAAGUGCCCUCCAUUGCAGAGAAGUUUUGCUCAUUCUACACAGUAGUCCCUUGACAUUGAGUGAAUUGAAAUCCCACUUUUAGUGGUAAAAAAGAUGGGACCUGAGGACCCAUGCUGUUGAGGCUGUAAGUGGGUGCUGGCAACCCUGCUCCUGCUGCUGUCAGCCCCAAUCUUGGCCUCCAAAAGAAAAUCAGGGAGAUGUUUUCAGCCCUUGAUCUCUUUCUCUAAGAUAAACCCUUUCUCUCUAGGCCACUCCCUUUCUAACCUUCCUUCCCAGUAUAUCUACUUUAUACUAUCCAUGGGUUUCUGCACUUUUCCUUUGUGCCUUUUCUCACACUAGUCCCUCCUCUGGGAGUGUCCUUUUCUAGCAUCACCCAAGUCCUAUUCAUCAUUCAAGGUUCCAGCUCAAAUUCCACCUUCACCAAGGAGCUUCCCAGAUUUCUCCAGUAAAAAUUAUUCUCCCGUGUGUUCCCAAGAGGGAAGAAAGGAUAAACAAGUGUUUUUUAAGCACUUGAUCUAAUUCAGGUUACUUUGCAUAUGUUGCUUAAUCAUAUGAUGUAGGUAUUGCUUCAUUUUACUUGAUAAAGGUAAGAAUCUGAGUGGUUAACCAGUCUGAAUAAGAUCAUAUAACUAAGUGAUGGUGCUGGGAUUUUAACCUAGACAGUCUGACUUCAGAGUACAACUUUCCAAUCUGCCACAUUUGGUCUAUUUACUAGUGUAAAUCCACUCUAUUGUGGUGUUUUGCUUGUAAAAGCUUUUAAAGGUUUGUGACAUUGAA